CCCUUAGAUGUCCUGGGCCGCACGCGCGCUACACUGAUGCAUGCAACGAGUUUAUAACCUUGGCCUGAAAGGUCUGGGUAAUCUUUUGAACGUGCAUCGUGAUAGGGAUAGAUUAUUGCAAUUGUUAAUCUUGAACGAGGAAUUCCUAGUAAACGCGAGUCAUCAGCUCGCAUUGAUUACGUCCCUGCCCUUUGUACACACCGCCCGUCGCACCUACCGAUUGAAUGGUUCGGUGAGCUCUUCGGACUGCGCGGUCUGCAGUUUCUGCGUUCCGUGCGGAAAGUUGCGCAAACCUUAACAUUUAGAGGAAGGAGAAGUCGUAACA
rnacentral:rRNA from 1 species